AGAGUUUGAUCAUGGCUCAGAACGAACGCUGGCGGCGUACUUAACACAUGCAAGUCGUACGAGAAAGGGGACUUCGGUCUCUGAGUAAAGUGGCGUACGGGUGCGUAACACGUAAGUAAUCUACCCCGAACUCUGGGAUAACUCUCCGAAAGGAGGGCUAAGACUGGAUAGGGUCCCUGAGGUGUAGGCUGCAGGGGGAAAACGGGCCUCUGUUUCAUGCUCGUGGUGCGGGAUGAGCUUGCGGCCCAUUAGCUUGUUGGUAGGGUAAUGGCCUACCAAGGCGACGAUGGGUAGCUGGUCUGAGAGGAUGAUCAGCCACACUGGCACUGAGACACGGGCCAGACUCCUACGGGAGGCAGCAGUGGGGAAUUUUGCGCAAUGGGCGAAAGCCUGACGCAGUAACGCCGCGUGGAGGAUGAAGGCCUUCGGGUCGUAAAGCUCUGUGGGGAGGGACGAACCGCUGCACGUUCAUAGCGUGCAGCAUGACGGUACCUCCUUAGCAAGCACCGGCUAACUUCGUGCCAGCAGCCGCGGUAAUUC
rnacentral:rRNA from 1 species